AACCAUCACAAGGAGACGUAUCAUUUCCAGCUAGUUCCUGACUGCCAGCAGCUUAUUAGAAGCUAGACUGAGUAACUGGACCAUAACCGAGUUUAAGAUUCUAAUGCUGCUAGAUCUCUUACUGUUUUCUGUAGGUUGUUAGAAGUCUCUGGAGCAUACUGAGCAGGAAAAGUGGGCGAUCUAGUGGAACAUAAGCGAAUUUGGAACACAAGGGAGCCCACUGUCUAGGAGCUGCUAUUUCAUUCUUCCUUCCCUGCUGAUUGUGAGGAGCUGGCCUCUUAUCAUGUCAACAGAAGCUGAAACUAACAUGAACAACCAGCCAGACCAGGCCAUUCCCCCAAAGACUACGCCAAAGAAGGAGAGGAAGAAAGUCCCAGAGAAGACAGAUGAGUUUCUGCUGUCCAGAUUCAAAGGUGAUGGCGUGCGGUAUAAAGCCAAGCUGAUUGGCGUGGAUGACGUGCCUGGUGCCAGAGGGGAUAAAAUGAGCCAAGAUUCCAUGAUGAAACUGAAGGGGAUGAGUGCUGCCUCUCGGUCACAGGGAAAACAUAAGCAGAAAGUCUGGAUCAACAUAUCCCUGUCUGGCAUCAGAAUUAUUGAUGAGAAAACUGGGGUAAUAGAAUAUGAACAUGCAGUGAAUAAGAUUUCUUUCAUCGCACGGGAUGUGACAGACAACCGAGCUUUCGGCUACGUCUGUGGUGCUGAAGGGCAGCAUCAGUUCUUCGCUGUUAAGACUGUCCAACAGGCAGACCCAUUGGUUGUCGAUUUGAAGGAUCUUUUCCAACUAGUUUUCAACAUGAGAAGGAAGGAAACCGAGGGCACAGACAAGUGUGAUGAACAGAUUAAUCUUUUUGGACACACAUUAUCACCACCAGAUUUACAGUCUUCCUCGGAGACUAAAGAUAUCCUACUGUUGGAUCUUUCCACUGACAUCGACAACAAUCAAAACUGUGUAAAGGGAGAGUGUUUGGCAGCUUCCUUUGUCCCUCAGAUAAUGCCUGAAUCAAACCCCUCCCUUGAAAAGCCCUGCCCUCCUCAGGUUAGCUUCUUUCCCACUACCUUGCCAGACCCCUUCAGCGAUGACCCCUUCCCAAAAAACAAAGACCAUCCUGCACAGCCUAACCUUGUGGCUCCCCCCAUGGUUUUCAACCACAGACAAGUAAGUCUCGAUCAAUUCUGUAGCUCACCGAAUGUCAACGGUCACCAUAAUGGUGACUCUGACUGCUUAACUCAACAGUUUGAUGAGCUAUCCGUUAGGACUGUUACCCAGACAUCAUCUGACAGCCAGUGGCCAGUACAGUGUAGGGUCACAGAGGAGAUCCCAGUGAAACUGCAGAGAGCUUUACAAUACAGAUCCAUGCAGAAUCCUUUUCUUGAAGUAUCUGAUAAAAACUUACCCUUGCUAAAUGUUGUGAAAAAAGAGUCAGGGGGCACCACUGAGCCCCCGUGUCACCCAGCCAUGGAUUCAGUGAUCAUUAGCCCUCCUCCACUCAACACAAAGGCUGGACGAGGAAGGAAAUGCAUUAAGUCCUCCACAAACAACCCAUUUGGAACAGACCAGUAUGCUUCAUCCAGUCACAGAGAAUCUGGUCCACCACAGCCAGAUAUUCAAACCAAACCUGUUGCUAACUUUAGUGGCGAUCCAGUAAACAGCAACACUACAAUGCUAAGUUUGGGAACUUUGUCGCUGGGUGCUCCAGCUCCAAACUUAGGGGCAGCCCAGUGGGGUCAAGCAGCACCCUCCAUAUUCCUUGUUCCCGAUGGCACUUCUCAGUCCACUUCUUACCCCCAGUUUUCAGUUUUCGGUGCCUCACCAGCACCUGUGUGGGGCCAAGCACCGCCAGCAUUUGGAAUCGCUGCUCCUCCACAGCUCCCGGCCUGGGGUCACACAGCUGCAAUGGCACCACCUGCUGGAUGGUUUCAGGAUUCACAUAUGAGUAAUCCCUUCCGAGCCGACAUGCUCCCAAAAGGAACACACCUGUCCUCCAGUCCUACACCAGAACCUCCAUCACAGUCAACUCCAUCGAAGGGGAUCUCAAUGGUGGAAAAUGAUGCCUUCGCAGCUCUAGAUCCUCUCGAGCAGGAGCAGAAAAAUGGGAAGGAUAUGUUUAAAGAUUUCAGGAAAGUCAAGCCUCUGCAGGUGUCGGCUCAGAGAGGUUCCCCAUGCCCUAGCCCCGCUGCCUCAGCCCCUCUGGUACGUCACUUUGAUAGCCCAUCUAGCUGUAAUAUGUUAGGUGGGCACCCUUCUGCAUAGGUCAAGCCCCCCGCCCAGCCUGUCACAACAGCCUUCUGUAGCAACCCUUUCGCAUAAGGGAUGUCCAUCCUGCCCGGCAGCAAAAAUAAAGCCCUUGUCAUCCAGAUGUAAUCAACGAGGAAUCCAACUGCUCCAACCCAGUCCAGAAACUUAAGAUGCAGAUGAUGUAAUUCGUCAAAACCUCAUUUACCAAUCAGACCAAUGAGUGACCAAAGUGAUUUAAUGUCACGUAUGGACCUUCAGUCAUAUCAGUGCUGAGUGGUGUUCCCCUUGUUAUUCAGUACUAGCAGAUAUAGAGAGGUGCCUGUACUCCCCUUGUUAUUCAGUACUAGAGGAUAUCGAGAGGCCCUUGUCAUUCAGUAAUAGGGGACAUGGAGAGGUGCCGGUACUCCCCUUGUCAUUCAGUAAUAGGGGACAUGGAGAGGUGCCGGUACUCCCCUUGUCAUUCAGUACUAGGGGAUAUCGAGAGGUGCCAGUACUCUGAAGCAAAAACACAAAGAUGUGCUGGUACUACAUACAGGUACCAGUGAGUACCGGCUCACUUCGAGCACUGAGUCAAAGCAAUCUGCAGUGUAAAUAAAACUAGAUCCUGCAUACAGCAGUCCCAUGAAACACACUAUAACAUGUAAUUAAUAUUGUAUGGCACUAAAGAUGGUGUGUGGAUUGCCUGCAGAUAAUUGUGUAUAAUCAACUAUGAACAACUGAUGCGUCCUUUUCUCCCAUUUUAUGUAUUAUACCCAUGUUCUUCAUGAUGUUGUACAGUUCCAGGAUAAGAGCUAAUUGAUUGCUUAUGAUUGAAUCUUAAAGUAUAUUUUGAUUAGAAGUUGGACUUAAAGAGUGGAUGACCAAUAAUAAUGUCAAAACUAGUUAUGAAGUCUUAUGUAGUUGUUUAUUUUUUUCUAAAUAAACUGGCACAUUUAGAUGGUGUAAUUUUUUAUAUUGUGUGUAUCGUUCAUCAAUCAAAUGACAAUCUGUACUAGUUUAUAUAAAGGCGAUUUCUGUAUUUUUUAUUAAACUAUGAUGAUACUUUGAA